rnacentral:rRNA from 1 species
GGAUUGACGUAAUGGUCGUGCCUUAAGGGGUAUGCACUGGUCUCACUGAUUCCUCCUUCCUGAUGAGCCGUAAUGCCAUUAAUUUGGUGUUGCGGGGAAUUUGGACUGUUACUUUGAAAAAAUUAGAGUGUUUAAAGCAAGCUAACGCUUGAAUACAUUAGCAUGGAAUAAUGAAAUAGGACGUUCGAUCCUAUUUUGUUGGUUUCUAGGAUUGACGUA